AAGCAAUCUGAAAGUGGAUCUUUCUGCUCCAAAUCCUAUUGAUAAUACUUCCUUUAGAAUAGCCAAACACCAAACUAAAAAGAUCAAUUUAACUGUUGGUAAUAGCAAUGAAGUGAUACUAAAAGCUGGACAUGGGGAAUGUGUCCUACACACUGAUCUUCCAGAAUCUCAGGGAAACAUUUUCUUGCACCUGCCUUCUUACGAUAAACUUGUUACUCCCAUUAAUGGUGCCUACUUCAUAAUUCUCACAGUGUUAAUUUUUGGAGGGAUUUCAGCUUGGUGCUUGCUUAGAAAGAGGAAACAACAGAAUGGCAUUCCUUAUCAAGAACUUGAGAUGGGUUUGCCAGAAUCUAGUUUCGUAAACAAUGUCGAAACAGCAGAAGGUUGGGAUGAGGGUUGGGAUGAUGAGUGGGAUGGGGAAAAUGCAGUGAAGUCACCAGCAGCAGGCCAUUCAGGAAGUAUUUCAGCCAAUGGCCUUACUUCUAGGUCACAAAAGAAAGAUGAAUGGGAAAAUGAUUGGGAUGCUUAGGACUUCUGCAGUUGAAAAGGGGAGACACUUCUACCCAUGAGGGUACAGGGUGGAGAAACAAGAAAAAGAAUAGAUACA
rnacentral:misc_RNA from 1 species